rnacentral:rRNA from 1 species
GGGGAAUCUUCCGCAAUGGACGAAAGUCUGACGGAGCAACGCCGCGUGAGUGAAGAAGGUUUUCGGAUCGUAAAGCUCUGUUGUUUGAGACGAAUGUGCAGACUUUGAAUAAGGGUUUGUAAUGACGGUAUUAAACGAGAAAGCCACGGCUAACUACGUGCCAGCAGCCGCGGUAAUACGUAGGUGGCAAGCGUUGUCCGGAAUUAUUGGGCGUAAAGGGAGCGCAGGUGGGAAUGUAAGUCAGUCUUAAAAGUGCGGGGCUCAACCCCGUGAGGGGAUUGAAACUACAUUUCUUGAGUGCAGGAGAGGAAAGUGGAAUUCCUAGUGUAGCGGUGAAAUGCGUAGAGAUUAGGAGGAACACCAGUGGCGAAGGCGACUUUCUGGACUGUAACUGACACUGAGGCUCGAAAGCCAGGGGAGCGAAC